GUCUACGGCCAUACCACCCUGAAAGCACCCAAUCUCAUCUGAUCUCGGAAGGUAAGCAGAGUUGGGCCUGGUUAGUACUUGGAUGGGAGACAAAUUUGUUACUUUGUGGCUAAUAUUGUUGUUGUGAUUG
rfam:Heterocephalus glaber contig221826, whole genome shotgun sequence.